AAGAACUUGAACGUUCAACUUCUUCUUACGUGUUUUUUUUUAUAUUUUAGUACAUGUAUUACUAUUAGUAUAAAAUGUAAUAUUUAGUAUAAUUGAUAGAUAUAUUUAACUUUCGAUUUUUUUUAAUUAUUUUCGGAAAAUGUUAAUAAAUAGAACAUUAGUGCUUCAAGCUUUAAAUAAUAUUCUGUUUUAUACUCCACAGUCAUAUUGAGGUAGUGGUAUAGUUUAGACAAGUGUAGAUUCGGAACAAGGUCGUACACGAAGUAAUUUUGCUCCAUGGCUGACGUAAAGGACGAGAUAACAACUCUGAAGUGUGGUCCAUGCUUGUUCGAUGGCGACUCAGUGGAGCCAACGCAUUUCUGUGUUGACUGUCUGGAAUAGUUGUGUACUGGAUGUGCACGCGAACAUCAAACUCACAAGUCAUCACGUGAACAUACAGUACUCGAAGACAGUGAAUUUUCGCCAGAUGAUUAAUUAACCGACAAAACUAGAAGAUCUGAUGAAAAUGUUGCAUCAAUUCAAUGUUGUGCUAAUAUGCAAAGAUGAACAAGCAUCCGAGAUGAGCAGUGAUGAGGCAUCUCUCUAUGAGGACGCAAUAGAAUUUCAAGAGUCAAAAACACGAGAUGUAGCGACACAAUAUAAGGAAAUUGUGGCUGAAUGUGGAAAGGCUCCCAAACGACGUUUGAGAUGCUUGAAUGUUAUGCAUGAUAACAUUAGGCUAUUAAAGUUUGAAUAUCAUAAGAAAAAAGAAACAAAGCGUUCUGUUGUAGCAAUAGACAUAUUAUCUAACGGUAGAAUACUUUGGUUGCAUCAUGAAAAAAUGUUGGCAUUGCAUUCAUCGAAACUGCAAUUAUCAUCAACAUUCCAACGUAAACGAAAUGCUAAAGACAUGUGUGCUGUACAGAAAACAAGUAAAGGUGACUUUACAGUAGCUGUUUGUUUUGAACGGUCAAGUAAAACUUUAAUCCUUGAAUAUCACGAUGAGUUUCAAGAAAAGACUUGUAUUAAUUGCAGCCCAAAUGUUAUCAGUAUAUAAAUGCAUAAUCAUUUGGUAACGCUUGUAGAACGGAAGAGUUCAACAUCAUCCUAUGAAAUUCGGCUGCUCGAUAUACCGACUGGUCACGUGUGUUACACCUUUGACGAGUUUAUAAAAGCAACAUCCGAACACGCCAGCAUUUUCGAAUGUAUUACCAUUUUAAACCUUACAGAAUACGUGCGUGCCAAAAGACUAAUCAUGUUGUUUUACUUGAUGCAAAUGCAGUUUACCGUUUCAGCAUCGGAGACGGUCAAUGUGAAAAUGAUACAUUGUAUGCAGGCGGUCCAUGUGUGUGGAAUCAUCGUUAAGUAUGGAAAACCCCGCCGGACCUCCACAAUGCAACGGAUGUUAAAUUCGAUUCUCAUGGAAAUGUGUAUGUCCAGGCGAAUAAUUGUAUGUAUCAGUUAUAUCUUUCAAAUGGCAGCUUCAUUGCCCGAAUACUUAUGGCACAGCUUGACAAUGUUUCCGCACUGGCCAUAGACGAGUCAUGUAAUCGUAUAGUAGUGGGAUAUAAAUAUUCUGAUCGUGCUCAUGUUUACAAAUAUAGCUUUCUCAGCGAUCGAUAAGGAUUUCACAAAUAUUAGCUCUUGUCUUUGAACAUUUAACAAAUUAAGAUUGUUUCUCCGCGCUUGUGUUGCUUAUUUUCAAAGUAGAAUGCUUGAAAGGACGAUACAUGACUGAAACAAAAAAACAGUGUGAAACAUUACAGGUUCUUGUUCAUUUAAGUUUGAAAUAGCUAUUGUAUUCCAAGAAAUGGGUACGUUUAUUAUAAAAUUUAACAUUACAUCGGACUGAACGGCGGUAUUGUAUUGUAAUAUGUAGUGUAAAAUUUAAUAUUCAACUACAUAAUUAAUAUACAAUUAAUUUAUUUUCCGUUUGAAAGAUGCACACAAAAAUAAUCAAACAUGUGAGCAUGUAGAUUUUGUAUGAACAUAUAGUUGUAUUAUAUGCUAGAGGAACGUAUGUUGAUUUUAUGCUUGCCAUUACGUAUUAGAAUUCAACGGAUGAUAAAUGUUCACGUACACUUACGAUAUUAUGUAUUCAUACUCAUGAACGACUGGCAAGGUAACCAAAUCAUAUGAAUAAAGAAUGUUUGUAGAAUAAAAUAAUAUAUAUGACUUUUCGUUCGCUAAAGUCAUCUGACCUUUGUAGGUGGUACGAAAUGAAAGGUUUAACAUAAUCUUCAUUAUUCUGUUUUAAGUAUAUAACGUUUCAUCAGAAUAUCAGGGUUACUUUAAAGGUUAUCAAAUUAUUAAGUUUUGCGUUCGGAUGACCCGAGGGAUAACGUACGGACUUAACGAUGCAGGCAAAAUAUAUUUUAUGAAUAAAUAUUGUACAUCAUUAUAUAAAUAAAAAAUAAAUAUAUAUAAAUAAUA